UUUCUUCAGGAGGCACUUUUCAGAAGAAAUAUAACAAAGUUGAUGAAAAUAAGACAUCAAGUCAAAGAAGACAUGAAAAUACAAAAUAUAAUGGAUGUAAGCUCCAUAAAGACAAUCUCAGAGAAAGAGGAGCACCUUUUUCCUCUUAUCCCUAAAGUGAGCGGUACCUCUGUGAAGAUGAGAGCGACUCAGGUGAGUGUGUUUGACUUUUUACAGUGACAGAGAUAACCUGUCUCAUCCAUGACAUAGAAACAAGGAAGUUACAAAACUACCGCUCAGAUAUUAUUUGUGUUGUAAAGGUCAAAAUUAAAAACUGGGCAGACCUCCAACUCCCCUCACACUCUCUAUACUCACAGGGAGAAGGAGGAGAGGGUCAGGGUCUUUGUGUGUGUGUGUGUGUGUGGGGGGGGGUGUUAGGUGGUUUCCAUGGCAGCAUGUUUUCUCACACAUGCUGCCCACAUGUCAUAAAGCGCUCUGUGCAGGAAUAUGAAAUGAAAGGCGUGUUUUACGCCCACGAAGUUCAAGCGUCUGUGCGUGUUUGUGGGCAGCGCUCCAGGAUGUCAAAGUUUACUUAGAUUAACAUCAGUGUGUGUUUGAAAGAAUCACUGCAGCAACACACCUUCACUGAGCACACCUGACAGGGCUACAGGUCACUACAGAGGUAAAAAAAAAAAAGACAAUAACUUACAGGAAAUAAACAAGACAAGAUGAAAAUCAUACUCAGAUAAAAGUAAAUAAAGAAGUGUGUUCUUUCUUCACACAGCGGCCGUCCUUCUCUGAUAUCAUGCUCCAGGUGAGAGUCAAAGAAUGAGUGGAUUUCAUCAUCUACAGUACAUCAUAUCAUUUAAAGAGAAUCUGGAGAAAUCUCUGUACUGAAGGGUCCAAAGCCAAGACUGGAUGGUCCUGAUCCUCAGGCCCUCAGGCAGCACUACACUAAAAAACAAUCAAGACUCUGGAGUGGAAAUCACUGCAUGGGCUCAGAAUCACUUUAAAAACCAUCGACUGUGCAGAAGCUGAAUUCUUUUAGUGUCUCUAAGAACAUUUUAUGUAGAUUUUUAUUAUUUUUCUAUUGACAGUUUCUUUAUCUGUUGGUUUAAUGGGUUUUCUCUGAAAGACACGAACAGUCUGAAUCACAUUGUCAUCGUCUGCUUAAAGUUCAUCCCUAAAAAUAUUAUGGUAUGGGGAUCAUCAAGGUCCAAGUCAUCUGUGAAGGCUCCAUUAAUGCUGAACUAUAUCUCCAAGUUUAGGAGCAACAGGACUCUGCAGUCGGAGUCACCGCAUGCACUUAAUAUCACUCGUCCGUGAACUGUCCUGAGGUCUGAUGAAUCAAAAUCUAAAACUCUUUUAGAAAGGACAACUGGAGUUUCUAAAGAACCAGAAAUCAUAGACGCCGUAUCCGCAGUUUUAAACAAUAUCUCCAGGUUAAGGGGCAACAUCUGCGUCCAUCUAGACCAGGACUUUUUCAGGGAAGACCUUCAGAUGAUCCCAAACCACAAUCUGACAACAGCAUGGCUCUGUAGGAGAAGAGUCCUGGACUGAUGGGGUCCUGACUUGGAAACAUUUGGAGCAUCAUGACCUCCAAAACAGGACCAAGAGCAGCUGAGAUCCUCUAUCAGGACAGACUGGGACAACAUUUGACUGUCAGACUCCAGAACUCAGUCUGCUGGGUUCAAUAAUAAACUAACAAAUCUUAUCCAAAAGAAGAAGCCAAAAUAUCAAUUAAUGGUACUGAAAUCUCUCAAGUACCCCACACCACUUUUUUGGGUGUUGUCCUUGAUGAGGGUGUGAAGUGGAACAUUCAUAUCGGUCGAGUUUGCAAAAGGUCAAUGAAGAGCCUCUGUAUAAUCGAUAAGGUCUGUCCUCUGAUCAAUCCCUCUGCUCAUUUGUCUUUGUAUUAUAGCUUUCUAUUUCCGUACAUGAACUAUUGUAAUAUUGUAUGGUGUGCAACGUAUCCAACAUACCUCAAGAAAAUAUGAAUAAUCCAGAAAAGAUUCUUCAGAAUAAUAUCUCGAUCCAGCAGACAUGAACCUUCUGCUCCUCUCUUCUAAAUACUCCUUCUUACCGAUUGACAAACUCAGUGUCUUUCACUCUCGUUUGUUUGUCUACAAGUUCAUCAAUAACAAACCAAACCUUCCUGAAACUUUCCGAAACUUUUUUACCUUUUCUUCCGACCUUCACCCGUACUCAACAC
rnacentral:lncRNA from 1 species